GAUGAAGAAACGCAGCGAAAUGCGAUACGUAAUGUGAAUUGCAGAAUUCAGUGAAUCAUCGAGUCUUUGAACGCACAUUGCGCCCCCUGGUAUUCCGGGGGGCAUGCCUGUCCGAGCGUCAUUGCUGCCCUCAAGCCCGGCUUGUGUGUUGGGUCUCGUCCCCCUUCCCGGGGGGACGGGCCCGAAAGGCAGCGGCGGCACCGCGUCCGGUCCUCGAGCGUAUGGGGCUUUGUCACCCGCUCUGUAGGCCCGGCCGGCGCUUGCCGAUCAACCAAAACUUUUUUCCAGGUUGACCUCGGAUCAGGUAGGGAUACCCGCUGAACUUAAGCAUAUCAAUAAGCGGAGGA
rnacentral:misc_RNA from 1 species